rnacentral:tRNA from 1 species
GAGAAAUUGGUUAAAUUGAUAAUACUAGCUUGUCAUGCUAGAGUUACUCUGAGAGUAUUUCUUUGUG